CAUUGAAAAAAAAUUAAGAUUGCCCAAAAUCGACACAGGUGGGUAAGUAAAGAAUACCAAGGGCGCGAGACAACUCUCUCUAAAGAACUCGGUAAAAUAACCCCAUAACUUCGAAAGAAGGGGUGCCUCCUCACAAAAGGGGUCGCAGUGACCAGGCAUGGGCGACUGUUUACCAAAAACACAGGUCUCUGCAAAGUCGUAAGACCAUGUAUAGGGGCUGACGCCUGCCCAUUGUCGAAAGGUCAAGGAAAUUGUGACUUAAUGAUAGGAGAGCCGGUGACCAAAGCCCCGGGGAACGGCGGUCAUAACUAUAAUGGUUCUAAGAUAGUGAAAUUCCUAGUCGGGUAAGUUCUGGCCCGCACGAAAGGCAUAACGAUCUGGCCUGUCUCAGAAAGAGGCUCAGUGAAAUAUACAUGUUUCUGAAGAUGCAGACCACCCGCACCUGGAUAGAAAGACACUAUGAAGUUCCCUGGGAUUGGCUUUGGGCUUUUCCUGCAUAGCUUAGGUGGAAGGCGAAGAAGGCCUCCUUCCAGGGGCCCGAGCCAUUAGUGAGAUACCACUAUAGAAGAGCUAGAAUUCUAACCUUCUGUCAGGACCUAUGGGUCAAAGGACAGUCUCAAGUAGACAGUUUCUAUGGGGCGUAGGCCCCCCAAAAGGUAACAGAGGCGUGCAAAGAUUUCCUCGGGCCAGACAAAGAUUGGCCCUCGAGUGCAAAGGCAGAAGGGAGCUUGACUGCAAGCCCCACCCAUCGAGCAGGGACGAAAGUCAGCCUUAGUGAUCUGACGGUACCGAGUGGAAGGGUCGUCGCUCAACAGAUAAAAGUUACUCUAGGGAUAACAGGGUGAUCUUCCCCAAAAGCUCACAUUGACAGGAAGUUUAGCACCUCGAUGCCGGCUCUUCGCCACCCAAGUUGUGGUAUGUUCCAAGGGUUGGUUUGUUCGCCCAUUAAAGCGGUAUGUGAGCUAGGUUUAGAACAUCGUGAGACAGUUCGAUCCAUAUCCGGUGUGGGUGUUAGAGCA
rfam:Gossypium raimondii Chr04_contig_266, whole genome shotgun sequence.